rnacentral:rRNA from 1 species
AUUGAACGCUGGCUGCAGGCCUAACACAUGCAAGUCGAACGAGUGGCGGACGGGUGAGUAAUGUCUGGGAAACUGCCUGAUGGAGUGGGAUAACUACUGGAAACGGUAGCUAAUACCGCAUACCAUCCGAUGUUCCCAGAUGGGAUUAGCUUGUUGGUGGGGUAACGGCUCACCAAGGCCACGAUCCCUAGAUGGUCUGAGAGGAUGACCAGCCACACUGGAACUGAGACACGGUCCAGACUCCAACGGGAGGCAGGAGUGGGGAAUAUUGCACAAUGGGCGCAAGCCUGAUGCAGCCAUGACGCGUGUAUGAAGAAGGCCUUCGGGUUGGAAAGGAAUGUCGGCGGGGAGGAGGUACCAGAAGAAGAAGCACCGGCUAACUCCGUGCCAGCAGCCGCGGUAAUAC